rnacentral:lncRNA from 1 species
GUUGGAGUCAGGACUGCCUAAAUACUUAUCCCAUAUGCUGUUAAGCUUUUUUUCACAUAAACAACAUUAAGCACCAUAAGCAUGGUGGCAAGCCCUUUAGAUAACCUAUGGAAUAGUUCGCAUCCUUCCUUUCCCCAGAAAAACUGGCACUGUUGUGAGAAGUGCUCCAGGGCCCUAAAAAGAGUGACCCUGCUAGAGCAGUGGAGGCUGUUUCCCUCCAGGGCUGGAUCCUGGAUGGAGUGGGGCUUAUGCAGAUCACCUUGCAGAGGAAAGAAGGAAGAGGAGAGAGAGACAGAGAUGGGGGCCUAAAUGUAGAUAUUGUACACUUUUACAGUUGCAGAUUCAGACUGCACAGUCCCGGACAGAUCCCCACUAAAGGUCUGGGUAAAAGUCCUGAAACCUCCUCUCAAUUUCAGAUGCCCUCCCGCCAAUCAGCUGACUCCAAGUGGAGCAAAGCCCAGGUCUUGACAUAGAUACAGAUAACAUACACGCCCAGAUGAUGUCACAAUCAGCUGUAUCUAAACAGAGCAGAGCUCAGGUGACAUCACAGAACAGGCAGAGGCAGUUCAGGGGUAUUCUGGUUGCCUUACCCAGCUCUGAAGUCUGUCAGCCUCUUCAGAUGUCACUUGCCAUGUGGUAAGGAAGUGUAGUCAGCAGCUGGUGCAGUGGGAAGAAGAGAAAGGAAGUUCCCCAAGACAAAAACAUCUCGGCAGACCGUGAUCAUGGGCUACAUUCUCCGUACCAGCUUCAUAGCUCCAGUGAGAAAAUAAAUUCCUGCAUCCAGGAGAUGUGGAGUAAGAGAUACAGCUGCCCUUGACCAUAUUUCUUACUUCCGAGAAGAUCGUAGCAGUAAUUCAGAAUCUCAUCCAGGAUACCUCAUCACAGGCUGGAGUGCAGUGUCAUGAGCUUGGCUCACUACAGCCUCCAUCUUCUGUGCUUAAGGAUCCUUCCCUCUCAACCUCCAAGGUAGCUGAGACUACAGGCAACAUUCGAAACCCAGGUGCCACUCCUUCAGGAAGGUACCAUCAAGCUCCAAGGACUCAUCCUCUUUCUCCUUCCCCACUACCUAGUCAUUAGAGCGUCAGCAUCCACUUCCUGAAAGGAAGAUGCCUGUUUUUCACAUAUCCCAGAAAGCCUCAUUUUAGGACAGCAUUUAGCAGAGUGUAUUCAGGAUCCCACUAACCUUUUCGGAAGACAUGACUUCCAGAUGAUAUAAGGCAAGAAUAAGAAAUUUCAGUGACAGGGAACAGAAAUCAUAUUUCUGCAUUCAGGAUCAUGUUUUCUUGGCUCCAUCAGGAACUGUGCAGGACUGUGCACUCUGUUGAUACUCACAUGGUGGAAUUAUAUUGCCCUUGGCCAACCCUAAAGCCAUCAAGAUAGCAGGUUUGGAAUAAUUCACUGUCGAAGUCUUCUUGAGCUGAGCAGUCAUGUGAGCUUGGAAGAUGAUCCCUCUCCAGCUGAUCCUUCAGCUCAGGCCAUCAUCUACAUCUGGAUUCCUGACCCGGAGAAACUAUGAGUAAUGUGUGCUGCUUUUGAGCCACUAAGCUACAUGAAUUAAUGAAGGAUCAUUAUUAAGUUUUUAAUGGGUCAAGAGAAAGUUACCACUGAGGUCUUCUCUACCUGGGCAACAAUUGACUCCUAACAACCACUAUAAGCUUGGAAGAUGAUCCCUCCCCAGCUGAUCCUUCAGGCUCAGACUUUGACAGUCCUCUGAUAUACUUUAUAUGUAAAUAGAUGGCUGAGUGUUCUGGCUGAUGAACAUGGGUUACUUAACCAGAGUUAAGCGAGGACUUUCUCACCUGAAACCACCAAGAGACACAAAAGCCAGAAAAGGACAGAAAUUAAUUCAAGGGUCAACAAAUAGAGUCGGCUUUCUUUAAGACCUGAAGUGUAGAAGUCUAGGUUGAACCCUAGGUUGAUUACGUUGAAGACUACAUUCUCCUGUGAAGCAAGCAUUCCUAAAGGGUCUCUACUUUUUGUAGCCUGGGGAUUUUCUACUCCCCCAACAGCCAGAUGAGGCAGAAACCCCUACAGACAUCCCUAUGUGCCUCCUGUGCAAGUGCAGUUGCCCCUUGAAGGCAGUUCUCCUGCUGCAGACCACGCCCACCAAGGGCAGAGUCACAGCCACUGCAGCUGAGCUCAGAGCCUUCUGUGGGGUCUGCAGGGGCAAGGCCAGCUGUCCCCUGGGAUAGUUUGAAGAAUGCAGUUUGUUUGUAUAAUAAAGAUGUUUCUCUACGUCAUUCAUCUUGCUAAUCAAGGACGUUUAACAGCUUCAGACUUUCCUGGUAAUAUUUGUUCUUGCCUUUUUUUGGCAAAUAUAGUUAACACUUCUAUGCAUUUUUUACCUCACAUAAACAUCAUCUAAAACCAUUCAUAUUUCUGUAUUGCGUAUUAAUGCUUUUCAUUCCUGUAUAUAAAAAUGCAUUCAUAAUCGCUUUUCAAAAUACAUUUUCAGUUACCUUUUC